CGACACAGCAAAGAACCGAUGACGGUUUAUGAUUUACGUUGGUAAAUAAAUGGCGAAUAAUAGAUGUUAAUGCUAACCUGGAGUUUCUCAAUGCUUAGCUAAUGUGUCAUAGUUUGGAUUACUCGGGCAAAGCAAUUUGAAUGCAAACGAGCGAGCGAACGACUGAGUUAUUCCGAAAUAAACUGCAUACAAACUUUGCUACGAGUCACGUGUACAUAUUUUCAAAAGGGCGUUCUUCUAUUGCUUACAAUUCAAAUUACGGAGACUAAAUGGAUGAGUAUCAAAGGAUAAAACGAGCUGUCAGGCGUCAGGCAAAAAGGUUAACCGAGGAUCUACAGACAGCAAUAGAUGAAAAGGAUGUUAUUGGCUAUAAAAACGACCUCGAAGAGGAGUUAAAGUUGAAGUGGACCCGUCUACAAAUUGUACAGGAAGAAAUAAUGAAACUGGUAGACAACGAUCGUGAAGACGAAUGGGACAAGUUUCUAGAUGAGAUACGUAAAGAAUACAGAACCGUACAAAGGGAAGUUUGUAAUUUUAAGUUAAUUAGAGAUGAAGCCCUGUUGUAAAAAUUGGGCUAGUGUUAUAAUGGUUCUUUCUUUAACGAAAAGGCAAAUCAAAGAAUUUACUGGGGAUUCAAAAGCGUAUCAGUCAUUUAUGGUAACGUCCUUAAGUAUCGUUAAAGAUAUACCAAAUGACAUAAUUAAGUUAAACACCUUAAUUUCUUCAUGUACUGGCCCAGCUAGGGCAUCAAUUGAGUUCACCGUAAUGAAGCCUCCAGAUGAAGGCUAUGAUGUAGCUCUGCGAAUUUUAGAAACCAAGUUUGGUAAUAAGUCUGUUGUCAGUCAAGCAUGGAUUGCAAAGGUUAUGAGUAAGAAUACAAUAAAUUUAACACGAAUUAAUGAUUAU